rfam:Armatimonadetes bacterium RBG_16_58_9 RBG_16_scaffold_2883, whole genome shotgun sequence.
GGACGAUAAGGGCAAACUCUUCGAAAGAAGGGGACGCAAAGCUUACGGGACUAAACUCCGAACAAGCGGAGUAAGUCGGCCGGGCCGCCGUU